UGUUAACCACGGUUCUAAAUUAAUGCACUGCCUGUAAACAAAUGUAACCAUAGUAACAGUUAAACUCACAGCUUUGUUAUUAGUAGAAAUUUGGCACAGAUGCAGGAAGUCGUUAUAAACUUGUGGCUGAUUCCCGAAUUGGAGCUUCACUUGAUCAAGGUAGGAAAGAGCGUCUUCCACCUGCAGGCAUCCAAACACAACAGAGAAAUCACAAUCAACACUCAGUCAGCAGUUAACGUAGACUCAUGCUGGCGGAAACAACUCGGUAAAGUUUACAUAUGGACUGAAGUCGUACCUUAAGCCUCUGGAACUGCUGCUGGCCUGGUGUUGGAGCAGAAGCAGGCGGGGCAUGAGAGUGACCCUGACCCACGGCGGCUCCUGUAGGCUGGACCACAGGGCCGUGAUGAUGUGCGCCAGCAUGCACUGCAGGACUGUCGCUGUGUCCAUGUCCUCCAGAGCUCUGAGCCAAGGGCACCUGAAAGGGGAAAAUAUAAAUAUAUUUUUUAAAUGUAACUCAGCCUGAGCACUAAUAGUCUAUGUUUUGCUUAACUGAACCAAUACUGCAAUUAUUUGUUGCAGAUAAUGGAGAUGACUUAACAUUACAGUAAAGAUUUUUAAAUAAGCGAAUUAACUGUGCAGCCUGUAUUUACUCUGAGCGUUAUCUACUUGAAGCUAGGGCUGCAACAACUAAUCAAUAAAAAUCGAUAAGUAAAAUAAGCGACAACAAAUUUGAUUAUGGAUUAGUUGGGUCUGUGAAUGGUGAAAAAUGCAUUUCUAUGAUUAAAACACAUCUGGGAAACAGCGGAGUGAGCUGCUGCAGGAAAAGUGCAUGAUCCAGGUCGUCCAAAACAUGAGAGUGUUUUAUAUUAAGCGCUUCAAACAAACUCGUAAGUGUAUUAACGUGGCUUGUCAUGUCAGAUGCUGCGACAGAUGCAUGUGCUGUUUAAUGUGUUCCAGACAUGUUUUUUCUUCAGUGGAGAAAUGACAUUUAUAUGCUCAUCUGUAAAUGUUAGAAAUUAAUGCAAGUAUUUCCAAUUUACAUAAAGGCUCGUCCUGACAGCGAGUGAGUCUCCAGUAAACUUCACUGAAUGCGUGCGAGUCCACACACGCGUGUCAAAUAGCGCGCAAUAGAAAUGAAGCGCAAUAACUCUGACUAAAAUAUUCAUUUUGAUCAAAUGUGUUGUUUGCUGCUAUAUUUAGCAACAAAAGUAAUUGUGUUUUUUAUGAGCGCGGUAACUGUAAUGGGGUUAGAUCAUGUAAUUGUUUAGAAAUGUAAGAAGUGUCAUACAUUUACAGAAUAAAGUAACAUGUUACUGUGUA